UACGUAGGGGGCAAGCGUUGUCCGGAUUUAUUGAGCGUAAAGAGCGUGUAGGCGGCCAGGUAGGUCCGCUGUGAAAGUCCGAGGCUCAACCUCGGAAUGUCGGCGGAAACCCUCUGGCUAGAGUCCGGGAGAGGUGAGUGGAACUGCGAGUGUAGAGGUGAAAUUCGUAGAUAUUCGCAAGAACACCAGUGGCGAAGGCGGCUCACUGGCCCGGUACUGACGCUGAGGUGCGAAAGCGUGGGGAGCAAACGGG
rnacentral:rRNA from 1 species